rnacentral:misc_RNA from 1 species
GCAAGAGGUGUGGUGUGGUGUGAUAAAUAUGGGUAGGACAGGCAAAUCGGCUUGAGCUAGUCUUUCUUAGGUAUCUAUCCUUUUUGAGAAAGUCAGGGUGAGUACGGUUUUAAAUUGAUCUCGCUGACCCUCGCAUAUAGAUUAUUAAGUGAAAGUCUAGCUCGAGUUGAUCUCACUAGCAGACCUUGGAUUAAGAGAGCUAGGUAGGGAGAUCAGCUCCCUAUAUAUGUAUGUGUGAGUAUGGGUUUGACAUGAGUGCGUGAGUGCUCCAGAUUAUCU